CCUACGGGAGGCAGCAGUAAGGAAUAUUGGUCAAUGGACGAAAGUCUGAACCAGCCAUGCCGCGUGAAGGAUGAAGGCCCUCUGGGUUGUAAACUUCUUUUAUCUGGGACGAAAAAAGGGAAUUCUUUCCCACUUGACGGUACCAGAGGAAUAAGCACCGGCUAACUCCGUGCCAGCAGCCGCGGUAAUACGGAGGGUGCAAGCGUUAUCCGGAUUUACUGGGUUUAAAGGGUGCGUAGGUGGGUAGGUAAGUCAGUGGUGAAAUCUCCGAGCUUAACUCGGAAACUGCCAUUGAUACUAUCUAUCUUGAAUAUCCUGGAGGUGAGCGGAAUAUGUCAUGUAGCGGUGAAAUGCUUAGAUAUGACAUAGAACACCAAUUGCGAAGGCAGCUCACUACGGGAUUAUUGACACUGAGGCAUGAAAGCGUGGGGAUCAAACAGGAUUAGAUACCCUGGUAGUCCACGCCCUAAACCGAUGGAUACUCGACAUACGCGAUACACUGUGUGUGUCUGAGCGAAAGCAUUAAGUAUCCCACCUGGAAGUACGAUCGCAAGAUUGAACUCAAAUGAAAUUGACGGCGNGAGAGNGCGACGGACGACGACGAGGGAGGAGG
rnacentral:rRNA from 1 species